rnacentral:rRNA from 1 species
UACGGAGGGGGCUAGCGUUGUUCGGAAUUACUGGGCGUAAAGCGCACGUAGGCGGCUUUGUAAGCUAGAGGCGAAAGCCCGGAGCUCAACUCCGGAACUGCCUUUAAGACUGCAUCGCUUGAACGUCGGAGAGGUAAGUGGAAUUCCGAGUGUAGAGGUGAAAUUCGUAGAUAUUCGGAAGAACACCAGUGGCGAAGGCGACUUACUGGACGACUGUUGACGCUGAGGUGCGAAAGCGUGGGGAGCAAACAGG